GAAAUGCGAUAAAUAAUGUGAAUUGCAGAAUUCAGUGAAUCAUCGAAUCUUUGAACGCACAUUGCGCCCGCCAGUAUUCUGGCGGGCAUGCCUGUCCGAGCGUCAUUUCAACCAUCAAGCCCCCGGGCUUGUGUUGGGGACCUGCGGCUGCCCGCAGGCCCUGAAAACCAGUGGCGGGCUCGCUGUCACACCGAGCGUAGUAGCAAUCACCUCGCUCAGGGCGUGCUGCGGGUUCCGGCCGUUAAACAGCCUUACAAAACCCAAGGUUGACCUCGGAUCAGGUAGGAAGACCCGCUGAACUUAAGC
rnacentral:misc_RNA from 1 species